UGCCAGCCGCCGCGGUAAUACGGAGGGUGCAAGCGUUGUUCGGAUUUAUUGGGCGUAAAGCGAGUGUAGGCGGUUUGACAAGUCGGGUGUGAAAUCCCAGGGCCCAACCCUGGAACUGCAUCCGAUACUGUCAGGCUAGAGUUCCGGAGAGGGUGGCGGAAUUCCCGGUGUAGGGGUGAAAUCCGUAGAUAUCGGGAGGAACACCAGUGGCGAAGGCGGCCACCUGGACGGUGACUGACGCUGAGGUACGAAAGCGUGGGUAGCAAACAGGAUUAGAUA
rnacentral:rRNA from 1 species